rnacentral:tRNA from 1 species
GGAAGUGUGCCCGAGACAGGGACUACCUUGAUAGAGUAGGCACAGGUAUCACACCUCACUUCCU